AGCAGCCGCGGUAAUUCCAGCUCCAAUAGCGUAUAUUAAAGUUGUUGCAGUUAAAAAGCUCGUAGUUGAAUUUCGAGACCGGUUUACUGGUCGUGCUUUUGUACGUACUGGUAUAAUCGGUUUCUCUUUUCUGACGAACUAUAAUGCCAUUAAUUUGGUGUUAUAGGGAAUCAGGACUGUUACUUUGAAAAAAUUAGAGUGUUUAAAGCAGGCUCACGCUUGAAUACAUUAGCAUGGAAUAACGAAAUAGGACGUUUGAUUUUAUUUUGUUGGUUUCUAGGAUCGACGUAAUGAUUAAUAGGGAUAGUUGGGGGCAUUAGUAUUCAAUUGUCAGAGGUGAAAUUCUUGGAUUUAUUGAAGACUAACUACUGCGAAAGCAUUUGCCAAGGAUGUUUUCAUUAAUCAAGAACGAAAGUUAGGGGAUCGAAGACGAUCAGAUACCGUCGUAGUCUUAACCAUAAACUAUGCCGACUAGGGAUCGGAUGAUGUUAAUUUUUAAUGACUCAUUCGGCGCCUUACG
rnacentral:rRNA from 1 species